UACGUAGGGUGCAAGCGUUAAUCGGAAUUACUGGGCGUAAAGCGUGCGCAGGCGGUUCGGAAAGAAGGAUGUGAAAUCCCAGAGCUUAACUUUGGAACUGCAUUUUUGACUCCCGGGCUAGAGUGUGUCAGAGGGGGGUAGAAUUCCACGUGUAGCAGUGAAAUGCGUAGAGAUGUGGAGGAAUACCGAUGGCGAAGGCAGCCCCCUGGGACAACACUGACGCUCAGGCACGAAAGCGUGGGGAGCAAACAGG
rnacentral:rRNA from 1 species